rnacentral:misc_RNA from 1 species
GAUGAAGAACGCAGUGAAACGCGAUAGUUAAUGUGAAUUGCAGAAUUCAGUGAAUCAUCGAGUUUUUGAACGCAUAUUGCGCCCAUUGGUAUUCCUUUGGGCAUGUCUGUUUGAGCGUCAUUACAACUCUUCAACAUAAAAGUUGGUUAUGGGCUUCUGUUAUAGUUUUUAUAACAGGCUUUAAAGUUGUAUGCUCUGCAGGUUACUUUGCCGAACCAAAACAUAGUAAUUUUACUUCUUUGUUUCUAGUAAGGCUUUGUAUAUUCUGCCUGAAUUAAAAAUCUUUAAUUCUAAGGUUUGACCUCAGAUCAGACAAGGAUACCCGCUGAACUUAAGCAUAUCAAUAAGCGGAGGA